rnacentral:rRNA from 1 species
UUCAAAUUGAGAGUUUGAUCCUGGCUCAGGAUGAACGCUGGCGGCGUGCCUAAUACAUGCAAGUCGAACGCUUUGUGGUUCAACUGAUUUGAAGAGCUUACUCAGAUAUGACGAUGGACAUUGCAAAGAGUGGCGAACGGGUGAGUAACACGUGGGAAACCUACCUCUUAGCAGGGGAUAACAUUUGGAAACAGAUGCUAAUACCGUAUAACAAUGACAACCGCAUGGUUGUUAUUUAAAAGAUGGUUCUGCUAUCACUAAGAGAUGGUCCCGCGGUGCAUUAGCUAGUUGGUAAGGUAAUGGCUUACCAAGGCGAUGAUGCAUAGCCGAGUUGAGAGACUGAUCGGCCACAAUGGGACUGAGACACGGCCCAUACUCCUACGGGAGGCAGCAGUAGGGAAUCUUCCACAAUGGGCGAAAGCCUGAUGGAGCAACGCCGCGUGUGUGAUGAAGGGUUUCGGCUCGUAAAACACUGUUGUAAGAGAAGAAUGACAUUGAGAGUAACUGUUCAAUGUGUGACGGUAUCUUACCAGAAAGGAACGGCUAAAUACGUGCCAGCAGCCGCGGUAAUACGUAUGUUCCAAGCGUUAUCCGGAUUUAUUGGGCGUAAAGCGAGCGCAGACGGUUAUUUAAGUCUGAAGUGAAAGCCCUCAGCUCAACUGAGGAAUUGCUUUGGAAACUGGAUGACUUGAGUGCAGUAGAGGAAAGUGGAACUCCAUGUGUAGCGGUGAAAUGCGUAGAUAUAU